UUUCUUCAAAAAAGCUGUUAGCCACAUGGAAUUUAAAAUUUUUGUGGGGUAUAAUAUUGAAGACAUUGUUUCAUCUGUUCAACAGUCUAUUCUGGAAGUUUCCAGUCUUCAUGCACCGAUCAUGCAAAGUGCCAAGUGCAAAGGAA